rnacentral:rRNA from 1 species
AUUGAACGCUGGCGGCAGGCCUAACACAUGCAAGUCGAGCGAGCGGCGGGCGGGUGAGUAAUAUGUGUGGACUGCCCGAUAGAGGGGGAUAACUACUCGAGACGGUAGCUAAUACCCCGUACUAUCGGGUAACCCCUAUGGGAUUAGCUAGUAGGUGAGGUAAUGGCUCACCUCGGCGCCGAUCCCUAGCUGGUCUGAGAGGAUGAUCAGCCACACUGGGACUGAGACACGGCCCAGACUCCUACGGAGGCAGCAGUGGGGAAUAUUGCACAAUGGGCGCAAGCCUGAUGCAGCCAUGCCGCGUGUAUGAAGAAGGCCCUAGGGUUGUAAAGUACUUUCAGUCGGGAGGCGUUACCGACAGAAGAAGCACCGGCUAACUACGUGCCAGCAGCCGCGGUAAUAC